CAGCUUUCCAUUUCAGGCUCCUGAAAAGCACACAAAAAGAGCUGAAUUCAGAAACCAAGCAGCAUGAAGUCACCCUCAGCAGACCUGUUUUAUUUAUUCCACCGGAGUGGCAACAAACACAAACUCCCCCUGUGCUGGAGGUGGGUCAGGCUUAGCACAAAAGCCCAAUUUUAGGCAAAGCUCUGCGAGUUCGGUGCCUUGGCUUUGCUGUUGUAAACCAUCUGCUCAGCUUCACUCCCAAACACCGGCGCUGGGAAUCAAUCACGGGGUUCCUUUCGGUUGAUCCCUGUUUUGCUCCACUUCUCCGCUUUUAAGACUCCACGGCCGCGGGCUCAGAAGUGCGUGCCAAGAACGGCAUCACAUCGAUAGCAGCGAAACCCUGGCAAAAACUGGAGCUGGCCCUCGAAAUCCAUUAGUGCCCUCGGAAAUCGGGGGGCCGGGAGCGUGGCGGUGGAAAAGUCCAUCUUUUGGAACUCGGCUCUCCAGCCCCACAUCCAGGAUUUCCUUGGGGAAGGACUGGCCCAGCCCAAGCAUUUCGGGGGAGCCUGGCAAGGAAGACACUCAAAUUUACCAGAAUUCCCAAAUGUUUGAAAUGCACGUCCAAAACCGAGGAUUUCCUGUGGAAAAGAACAUUCUGGUGCCAUUUCUUUUGAGACUGUUUUACAAACAUUUCUGCUGUGAGACACAGGACACCUCAAAAAUGAGAAAAGAAGGAAGACAAUUCAUGCUUGGACUGAUCCACACAAAUCCCUGUGGAGACCCUGGAAACCCAAACCUGGCGUGAGUUGUCAGCCUCAGAGCAGGAUGGAAGAAGAUGUCAAGCAAACCUCAGCUGUACCAGAGGGGAGGGAUCAGGAAGUUGUUGGAAAAUCAAUUAAAUUAAAAAACUCCAAAAAAUCAGCUCUGUGUUGGUCAAUGAACAGCAAGUGAAUGGAACUGGGACAUGUGGGAGUGAGGGGGAAAAUGCAGUGAAAAAAAAAAUAAAUGGGAGAUGUGAAGAUAAGAAAUGAAAUCC
ensembl:lncRNA